rnacentral:rRNA from 1 species
GUGGGGAAUAUUGGACAAUGGGCGAAAGCCUGAUCCAGCCAUUCCGCGUGCAGGAUGAAGGCCUUCGGGUUGUAAACUGCUUUUGUACGGAACGAAAAGCCUCUGGUUAAUACCCGGGGGUCAUGACGGUACCGUAAGAAUAAGCACCGGCUAACUACGUGCCAGCAGCCGCGGUAAUACGUAGGGUGCGAGCGUUAAUCGGAAUUACUGGGCGUAAAGCGUGCGCAGGCGGUGAUGUAAGACAGUUGUGAAAUCCCCGGGCUCAACCUGGGAACUGCAUCUGUGACUGCAUUGCUGGAGUGCGGCAGAGGGGGAUGGAAUUCCGCGUGUAGCAGUGAAAUGCGUAGAUAUGCGGAGGAACACCGAUGGCGAAGGCAAUCCCCUGGGCCUGCACUGACGCUCAUGCACGAAAGCGUGGGGAGCAAACAGGAUUAGAAACCCUGGUAGUCC